UACAGAGGUGGCAAGCGUUGUUCGGAAUUACUGGGCGUAAAGGGCGCGUAGGCGGUUCGUUAAGUCCUGUGUGAAAUCCCCCGGCUCAACUGGGGAACUGCACAGGAAACUAGCGGGCUUGAGUUCGGGAGAGGGAAGCGGAAUUCCGGGUGUAGCGGUGAAAUGCGUAGAUAUCCGGAGGAACACCGGUGGCGAAGGCGGCUUCCUGGACCGGCACUGACGCUGAGGCGCGAAAGCUAGGGGAGCAAACGGG
rnacentral:rRNA from 1 species